GAUGAACGCUGGCGGCGUGCCUAAUACAUGCAAGUCGAGCGAACAGACGAGGAGCUUGCUCCUUCGACGUUAGCGGCGGACGGGUGAGUAACACGUAGGUAACCUACCUAUAAGACUGGGAUAACUUCGGGAAACCGGAGCUAAUACCGGAUAAUAUUUCGAACCGCAUGGUUCGAUAGUGAAAGAUGGCUUUGCUAUCACUUAUAGAUGGACCUGCGCCGUAUUAGCUAGUUGGUAAGGUAACGGCUUACCAAGGCAACGAUACGUAGCCGACCUGAGAGGGUGAUCGGCCACACUGGAACUGAGACACGGUCCAGACUCCUACGGGAGGCAGCAGUAGGGAAUCUUCCGCAAUGGGCGAAAGCCUGACGGAGCAACGCCGCGUGAGUGAUGAAGGUCUUCGGAUCGUAAAACUCUGUUAUUAGGGAAGAACAGACGUGUAAGUAACUGUGCACGUCUUGACGGUACCUAAUCAGAAAGCCACGGCUAACUACGUG
rnacentral:rRNA from 1 species